rnacentral:rRNA from 1 species
AGUGAACGCUGGCGGUAGGCCUAACACAUGCCAGUCGAACGGCAGCACAGUAAGAUCUUGCUCUUACGGGUGGCGAGUCGCGGACGGGAGAGGAAUACAUCGGACUCUACUUUUUCGUGGGGGAUAACGUAGGGAAACUUACGCUCAUACCGCAUACGACCUACGGGUGAAAGCAUGGGAUCUUCGGACCUUGCGCGAUUGAAUGAGCCGAUGUCGGAUUAGCUAGUUGGCGGGGUAAAGGCCCACCAAGGCGACGAUCCGUAGCUGGUCUGAGAGGAGGAUCAGCGACACUGGAACUGAGACACGGUCCAGACUCCUACGGGAGGCAGCAGUGGGGAAUAUUGGACAAUAGGCGCAAGCCUGACCCAGCCAUACCGCGUGUGUGAAGAAGGCCUUCGGGUUGUAAAGCCCUUUUGUUGGGAAAGAAAAGCAGCAGGUUAAUACCCCGCUGUUCUGACGGUACCCAAAGAAUAAGCACCGGCUAACUUCGUG